rnacentral:lncRNA from 1 species
UGUGGCGUCUGCCUGGACACCAAGCAGUCUCCAUUCUGCAAAUUUCCUCUUCUUCCUGGGCUUUCCUUUCAGCCCGUUGAAAACGUUUAUGGGAAAGGGAAUUGAAGGCGAAAACAUUUCAAAACAAGGAGGGCUUCAAAGAAGUGUGAUGCCAGAGGGGACAUUGCUUCUCACAGAGAAAUGAUUUGAAGAUGCAGUUUGUGGCUCCCAAAUGUGGGGCACGUGCCCAGAGGCUGCCCCUUGGCUUCACUCAGGCUGACAAGGAGUCGAAUGCACAAGGUGACAGAGCUGGGAAAGCUUCGAGCACUUGAAGAUUCGCUGCUGCUGGCACCUGCCCCUCAGCACCUCACCGGCCUCGUGAGGGGCC